rnacentral:lncRNA from 1 species
CCAUUGAUUCUAGGACCUGGGCGUGCCGAAGCAGGCAACUGUUCCGUAUAAGACACAAUGCAUAAGAAGUUUCCUACAGAAUGGCAAUAAUUAGUGCAUUCUAUGAUGUUUUCUGGUCCCAGAUAUCUAAAUUCUUUUAGUCCUGCUGAGUAAAAAAGCAAAAGGAAGAUGGAGAAAAACCAUUAUAGGUUCAAGGCUGCAAAAUGACGGUUGAGGGUUUUUUCACUUCUGUUGGCUAAUUUCUGAGCUGGAAGACUAAGUAGAGGUCAUUUGAGUUGAGUCUCCUGCUGUCUCUUGCUGCUUUUGGCUUAAGGAUCCUGCUUCUCAGACUAAAAGGUAUAAUUCUCUCCAGUCCAUGGGCUAAGCCUAUGUGAGUAAGGAUCAACAAUGAGCCUGGCUCUGCCAGCAACACAGAAAAUCAAUUUAAACCUUUGGGAAGCCAUUAAAUAUGUGCUGCUCCCUUGCUGAUUUAAUGAUUCUUUCCUUCCAGGAUGGAUAAAACACUAAGUAGUACUACUUCCCGACAUGAAAUUUGGAUGUCACCCAACCCAUUGGAAAAGCUGACAAAUCUGCCCCCCCCCCCCCUCCAGGAGUUGGUGAAACUUUGUGACAACCCAGAAAGCCAGAUCUACAGGAGACCUCCAGCUUGUGGCAAAGGGGAAAGCACCUUCUCAGUGGCUUUCUUUUUGCCUUGGCUGCAUGCUGGUUCUCAGUGAGGCUCCAGAGAUUGUGAUCAUCACACUGAGACACUAUGACCAGGCUGUUAUGUGUCACCCUGAAGCAACAACACAGUGCUUCUUUGAGCCAAAGAAAUAAAAAGAAUAAAAAUGCCCUUUCCUAAGGGACU